AGGAAAUUAAAAAUAUGAAAAAGGAGAAGAAGACAAAAAUUCAAAGAUUUUGACACAUCCCCGUACAAAGAAGAAAGAAAUGUCCGAAUUUAUCUUUCCUUUUUUCCCUUUUAUUUCUCUUUCCUUCUUUUCUUCUUUUUCUCCCUCUAACUUAUGUUUCCUCCAUCACUAAGAUAAACUCCCUUUUUCCUCCUAAUUUGUCUUUGUAACAAACAUCUGAAUAAAUUUGCAAAAGUACACUAUUCCAUAUAAAUUCACAUGCACAGUCUUUACAAAGGUGAGAUUGUCAUUAAACAUAACCAAUUGAAAAAGAAAGAUUACACAUGACCAUCAUCCGCCAAGAUUUCAGGCGUAAAUAUGUCCCAUGAACCUAAAAUAUAAUCAAACAUGUUAGGAUACUGUCACAAAAAUAAGAUUGUCAUUAAACCUCACCAAUUGAUAAAGAAAAAUCACACAUAAUCAACAUCCGCCAAAAUUAUGUCUCCCGAACCAAAAAAAUAACCAAGCAUGUUAGGAUGUGUAUUUGUAAUAUGUGCAACUAAGAUUAUGCUAUCCUAUAAAACUAUAAGAUUUUUUUAAAGACAUAUGCAAGCAUGGAAAUGAGUACAAAAGAAGUAAGUGAAUGAAAAAUAAAAAGUAUAGAGGUAGAAUUGGGUGCUGGGGAGGAGGAUAUAAAGAUAAUUAAUUACUAAUUAAAAGACAACCAUAUUAAAAUAUGAGUGAAGGAAGAAAAUAAUGCAUAUGUUUAAAUGAGGAAGGAGAAUGAAACUAAUAAGAAGGAAGAGGUGGCGUUAGGAAUGAAGGAGACGUUUCGGAAAAAUAAAAUAAAUGAAAAAAUGAGGGGAAAGAAGUAAAAAAAAAGGAGAAAAAAAGAUAAUAAUGAUCAUACAAAAUUCUUAAGAUGAAAAUAUUUAAAUCAAAAUUAAAUUGCUCAUACAACCUCUAUCUUGACCAGUACGUAAAGAUUUAAUGUAAAAGUUUUAAAGGAUGAAUGCAACAAAAAGACUUUUAAAUGAAGUAUGCAGUAGGNNNNNNNNNNNNNNNNNNNNNNNNNNNNNNNNNNNNNNNNNNNNNUAGNUAUUUUUUCUAGUUUGUCAUUAUUGGGGUUUUAUUAUUUCUAGAGAUAUUUGAUCCUUUCUCUUAUUAAUCCAUAUAGGUGAAACUACACAUUUUUCUCGUCUUUUGCCUUUCCUCUUGUUCUUCUUCUUCUUCUUCUUCUUUUUUUGUUUUAUUUUACUUUUUCUUUCUUAUUUUCCUACACAUUCAUUUUUUUUAAAUAAAACUAUCAAAUGUCAAAAUAUUAAACUCAAAUAUAAUUCUCAGAAAGUAGUCCAAAAAUGUUAAGCUACUGUUAUUGCGAAGUUUUGAAUACUGAAUCUCGUAUGAGAACAUGAAAAACAUUUGGAAUAUCGGCUCGCACUUUAAAAUAUUACAUAAUACAAAAAGGAAGAAGGUGUAAGAGCAAUGGAAACACUAAUAUUGAAAACAUAAACAGUCACGAGUAAGUAAGUAUUUUACAAAGUAGCACAAGAGUAUCAUUUGUUCCUCUCAUAAUCUGUCAUAAUUAAGGUUGGGGUUGUAUUUUUCAAUGUCAUUAGCAACAUAGAUCAUGUAACAGAAUAGAAAUAUUACUUGAAAUCAUGAUAUUCACGUAAUUGCUCCAUGUCCUCUUGUGCUAUCCAGUAAAAUAAAUCAAAAAGAACAAUAACUUGGUAUUUCAAAAAAUAAGUGAGAGUACUUUUUUGUUCUAUCGCAUAAUCAAUGUUGGACUUGAGUAAAAAAAUUAUUCCAUAUACUAACUCAAAAGAGAUCUUAAAAUGACAUUAGAUACAAUUUCUGAUCACUUUCUAAAAGUUCAAUUAUGAUUGAUUAAUCAAGCAAGAUUGCAGAGACAACUUAUAUAUUCUCAGCACCAUAAUACUUGUCUCACUGAAGCCUCAUAAUAUCUUAUAAAAUACUUAAAUUCCGGUCAAUGCAUCAACAAAAAGCUUGUAAUGGAUUAAACUAAGAAUUGAACUUACCUAAAUAUCGCGACGAAUGUAUCCAUACGAUGAAAAUAUUUUAACCCUUCAGUAAUUAAAAAGUGCAAUCAUCAAAAACAGAGCAUUAGAAGAAUGAGAAGAGAACUUAGAACAUGAAAUAUAUCAGUAAAUGCAUCAAUUACUGAUGCAACAGAUAUGUUGCCAGCAAAACGUGAUUUGUACUUUCUUUUCUUGGAAGUUUGAACUCUAACUCCCUAAUAAUAUUUUUCUUGCAAAUCCAAUUCUGAGUUCAAAAGCUUCUUCUUCUC
rnacentral:lncRNA from 1 species